UCUGACGCCCCAGCCCGGGCUCUUUCCACUGAGCCACGCUUAGAACAGUGCUCUGCACAUAGUAAGCGCUUAACACUUAACUUCUCUGUGCCUCAGUUCCCUCAUCUGUAAAAUGGGGAUUAAAGACUGUGAGCCCCACGUGGGACGACCUGAUUCCCCUGUGUCUACCCCAGCGCUGAGAACAGUGCUCUGCACGUAGUAAGCGCUUAACAAAUACCAACAUUAUUAUCAUUAUUAAAUACCAACUUUAUUAUUAUUAUUAUUAAGGUCUGGGUCACGGCCCCACCCCCAACCCCUCCCCCAGGUCCGGCCUCGGCCCCACCCCCAGCCCCAGGCCCCUCCCCCGGCCCCGGCCCCGACCCCCUCCCCCCCCCCCCCCCCCCGGCCCCGUCCGGCCCGUGCUGCAGAAGGGCAACAUCUCACCCUCCUCCAGAGAACGGACCCCGCACACGCCCGCACACACACACACACACGCACGCACCCGGGCAGACACAGACAUAGAUCCAGACCCAGACGGACGGCGAGAGCGGGGUUGGGUCCCGGGCACGGUCCGGGAGCCGGUCCUGUGUGCGAGAGCAGGUCCUGGGUGCGGGAGUCGGUCCUGGACGGGAGAGAGCGGGGUUGGGUCCCGGGCUCGGUCCGGUGUGCGAGAGCAGGUCCUCUGGGCGGGAGCCGGUCCGGUGUGCGGGAGCCGGUCCUGGGUGCGAGAACCGAUCCUGCGCGGGAGCCGGUCCUGCGGGCGAGAACCGGUCCUGUGUGCGGGAGUCGGUCCUGUGUGCGGGAGCCGGUCCUGUGUGCGAGAGCCGGUCCUGCGCGAAAGUCGGUCCUGUGUGCGGGAGCCGGUCCUGUGUGCGAGAACCGGUCCUGCGCGAGAGCCGGUCCUGUGUGCGGGAGUCGCUCCUGUGAGGGAGUCGGUCCUGUGUGCGGGAAUCGGUCCUGUGUGCGAGAACUGGUCCUGCGCGAAAGUCGGUCCUGUGUGCGGGAGCCGGUCCUGUGUGCGAGAACCGGUCCGGUGUGGGAGCCGGUCCUGUGUGCGAGAACCGGUCCGGUGUGGGAGCCGGUCCCGUGUGCGAGAACCGGUCCUGCGCGGGAGUCGGGGCGCCCAGGCGGUCGGCAGAUCCCGCACCCAGAGCCGCCACCACCCUUAGGAGUCGUGGGGGUGGCCCUGGGGGUCGGGGGGGGGGGUCGGGGUGGUUCUUAUUGGCGUUGUUAUUGUUGUUGUUAUUGUGACAGUCGUAGCGUCCAAGGACCGAGGGAAGGAGGGCAGUGGAGGGCUGGGAGCCUGCCGGCCGACACACCCGGUGGCGUUGCACCCUCCCCCGAGCGCUCAGUCCAGUGCUCCGCACGCGGUAAACGCUCAAAAAAUACCAUUGCUUGCUUGAUUGUUACAUUGUCCUCUCCCAAGCGCUCAGUCCAGUGCUCCGCACGCGGUAAGCGCUCAAAAGAUACCAUUGCUUGCUUGGUUAUUGUACUGCACUCUCCCAAGCGCUUAGUUCAGUGCUCUGCACACGGUAAACGCUCAAUAAAUACCACUGCUUGACCGUGGUGUCCUCUCCCAAGCGCUCAGUCCGGUGCCCUGCACACGGUUAAGCGCCUCCCAAAAUACCAUUGCUUGCUUGUCAUAUUGCACUCUCCCAAGCGUUUAGCUCAGUGCUCUGCACACGCUAAGCGCUCAAAAAUUACCAGUGAUCGAUUGUUCUACUGUCCUCUCCCCAGCGUUUAGUCCAGUGCUCCGCACAAGGUAAGCGCUGAAUCAAUACCGUUGCUUCUUAGAGUUUACUCUCCCGAGCGCUUAGUCCAGUGCUCUUGCACACGAUAAGCGCUCAAUAAAUCCCACUGAUUGUUGUAGUGUCCUCUCCCAGGCGCUUAGUCGAGUGCCGCGCACACGGUAAGCGCUCAAUCAAUACCGUUGAUUGAUUGUUUUAUUGUCCUCUCCCAAGCGAUUAGUCCAGUGCUCCGCACACGGUAAAAGAUCAAUAAAUACGAUUGAAUGAAAGUAAGCGCUCAGUAAAUACUAUUGUUAUCUUGUAGUUUCCCAAAGGGACUAGUCCAGUGCUCUGCACACGGUAAAAGAUCAAUAAAUACGAUUGAAUGAAAGUAAGCGCUCAAUAAAUACUAUUGUUAUAUUGUAGCUCCCCAAACGAUUAGUCCAGUGCUCCGCGCUCAGCAGGCGCUCAGUCAAUAGCGCUGAUUGAUAUAGUGUACUCUCCCCAGCGCUUAGUUCAAUGCUCUGCACUCAGCAGGCGCUCAAUCAAUACCCGUGAUCGAUAUAUUGUACUCUUCCGAGCGCUUAGUCCAGUGCACCGCACACAGUAAGCGCUCAAUCAAUAGCGUUGUUCUAUUGUAGUCUCCCAAGCGCUCCGCACAUAGCAAACGCCCAAAUAAUCGCGUUGUGAUAUUGCAGUCAACCAAGCGCUCAGUCCAGUGCUCUGCACAAGGUAAGCGCUCAAACAAUAGCGUUGUUAUAUAUUGUAGUUUCCCAAGCGCUCAGUGCAGUGCCCCGCACAUAGCAAACGCUCAAAUAAUCGCGUUGUGAUAUUGCAGUCUCCCAAGCGCUCAGUCCAGUGCUCAGCACAAGGUAAGCGCUCAGACAAUAGCGUUGUUAUAUAUUGUAGCCGCCCAAGCGCUCAGUGCAGUGCUCCGCACAUAGCAAACGCUCAAAUAAUCGUGUUGUGAUAUUGCAGUGUCCCAAGCGCUCAGUCCAGUGCUCUGCACAGGGUAAGCGCUCAAACAAUAGCGUUGUUAUAUAUAGUAGUUUCCCAAACGCUCAGCCCAGUGCUCCGCACAUAGUGAGCGCUGCAUCAAUCGCGUGGUGGUAUUGCAGUCUCCCAAGCGCUCAGUGCAGUGCUCCGCACGUAGCAAACGCUCAAACAAUCGCGUUGUGAUAUUGCAGUCUCCCAAGCGCUCAGUCCAGUGCUCUGCACAGGGUAAGCGCUCAAACAAUAGCGUUGUUAUAUAUUGUAGUUUCCCAACCGGUCAGCCCAGUGCUCUGCACGAGCGCCCCAUCAAUCGCGUUGUGAUAGUGUAACCUCCCAAGCGCUCAGUGCCGUGCUCCGCACAUAGCAAACGCUCAAACAAUCGCGUGGUGAUAUUGCAGUGUCCCAAGCGCUCAGUCCAGUGCUCUGCACAAGAUAAGCGCUCAAACAAUAGCGUUGUUAAAUAUAGUAGCCUCCCAAGCGCUCAGUGCAGCGCUCCGCACGUAGUAAGCGCUCAAACAAUCGCGUGGUAAUAUUGCAGUGUCCCAAGCGCUCAGUCCAGUGCUCUGCACAAGGUGAGCGCUCAGACAAUAGCGUUGUUAAAUAUAGUAGCCUCCCAAGCGCUCAGUGCAGUGCUCUGCACGUAGCAAACGCUCAAACAAUCGCGUUGCGAUAGUGCAGCCUCCCAAGCGCUCAGUGCAGUGCACCGCACGUCGUGAGCGCUCCAUCAAUCGCGUUGUGAUCCCCAGCGCUCAUUCAUUCAUUCAUUCAUUCAUUCAUUCGUUCAUUCGUCUUUUUUUGAGUUGACCGUGGGCGGAGCAGCGGACUAAGCCCGGGGCAAGUAGAGUCGGAUCGAUCCGUGAUC
rnacentral:lncRNA from 1 species